UACGUAGGGUGCGAGCGUUGUCCGGAAUUAUUGGGCGUAAAGGGCUCGUAGGCGGUCUGUCACGUCGGGAGUGAAAACUCAGGGCUUAACCCUGAGCCUGCUUCCGAUACGGGCAGACUAGAGGUAUGCAGGGGAGAACGGAAUCCCUGGUGUAGCGGUGAAAUGCGCAGAUAUCAGGAGGAACACCGGUGGCGAAGGCGGUUCUCUGGGCAUUACCUGACGCUGAGGAGCGAAAGUGUGGGGAGCGAACAGG
rnacentral:rRNA from 1 species